UUGGAAGGUUUGGUUUCUCCUGAGUCUUUGCUCUUUGGCUUGCAGAUGGCAUGUUCUCCCUGUGCCUUUCCUUCUCUGUCUGUCUGCUUUCAAAUUUCCUGUUAAAAGACCUCCUCUCCCUCAGCCAGGCUGGACUGCACCUGCCCUGGCAAGUCCAGUCUACAUUAACCACAUCGGUAAGAUCUUUGUCUCCAAAUGCAGUCACACUCUGAGGCUCUGGGAGGCAGGAUGCCACCGCCUGAAUCUGGAGAGAAGACACCAUCCAUCCCCUCAUCGCUCCAUAGCAGUUCUCCCUGAGUCUUUAAACUGUCCAGGUUGGAUGUGAACUUGCAAUUGUCCUGUCUCAGCUUCUCUGAGUGCUGGAAUUAUAAACAUCACCAUCAUGCCUGGCUUCAAGAUACAGUAUUUUAAAAUUUAUUUCAAGCUUAAUAGACAAAGAAUAUGAAUAACCCUCAAUGCGAACUAAUAAUAACUGAAAGUUAAAUAUAAAGAAAUACAAGUUUAUUUAGCCCUUCAACAGUGUACAUUAACAGCUAAAGAGAGAUAUUAUCCCAGAAGUUUUCAUCCGCGGAUUGGAGCUCACCACAGGAAUAAUUUCUCAAUCAAUAGUACUCAGAUAAAAGCAGCUUUGAGCUUUGAAAAGAGAAUUGGAAGUGUUUCAAAGCAGGGUCUGCUGCUCAGAACACAGAGCUGGUUCAUUACCAUGAGAGUCCCUGGCUAAGCCCGGGCAAGGCCAACCACCAAAAG